rnacentral:misc_RNA from 1 species
ACAACCCUCAAGCUCUGCUUGGUAUUGGGCCCCGCCGACCCGGCGAGCCCUAAAAUCAGUGGCGGUGCCAUCUGGUUCCGAGCGUAGUAAUUCUUCUCGCUUUGGAGGCCGGGUGUGUGCUUGCCAGCAACCCCCAAUUUUUUUAA